GAUGAACGCUGGCGGCAGGCUUAACACAUGCAAGUCGAGCGAGCGGCGGACGGGUGAGUAAUGUCUGGGAAACUGCCUGAUGGAGGGGGAUAACUACUGGAAACGGUAGCUAAUACCGCAUACCAUCAGAUGUGCCCAGAUGGGAUUAGCUAGUAUGUGGGGUAAUGGCUCCCCUAGGCGACGAUCCCUAGCUGGUCUGAGAGGAUGACAAGCCACACUGGAACUGAGACACGGUCCAGACUCGUACGGGAGGCAGCAGUGGGGAAUAUUGCACAAGGGGCGAAAGCCUGAUGCAGCCAUGCCGAGUGUGUGAAGAAGGCCUGAGGGUUGUAAAGCACUUGAAGCGAGGAGGCGUUACUCGCAGAAGAAGCACCGGCUAACUCCGUGCCAGCAGCCGCGGUAAUUC
rnacentral:rRNA from 1 species